CCUACGGGGGGCUGCAGUGAGGAAUAUUGGUCAAUGGGCGCGAGCCUGAACCAGCCAAGUAGCGUGAAGGAUGACUGCCCUACGGGUUGUAAACUUCUUUUAUAAAGGAAUAAAGUGAGGCACGUGUGCCUUUUUGUAUGUACUUUAUGAAUAAGGAUCGUCUAACUCCGUGCCAGCAGCCGCGGUAAUACGGAGGAUCCGAGCGUUAUCCGGAUUUAUUGGGUUUAAGGGGAGCGUAGAUGGGUUGUUAAGUAAGUUGUGAAAGUUUGCGGCUCAACCGGAAAAUUGCAAUUGAUACUGGCAGCCUUGAGUACAGUUGAGGUAGGCGGAAUUCGUGGUGUAGCGGUGAAAUGCUUAGAUAUAACGAAGAACUCCGAUUGCGAAGGCAGCUUACUAAACUGCCACUGACAUUGAUGCUCGAAAGUGUGGGUAUCAAACAGGAUUAGAUACCCGGGUAGUC
rnacentral:rRNA from 1 species